AGGGGUUAGGUUAUCUCAUAACUAUGUGGGCGGAAGCGAGAGGGAGGGGAAUGCCUACGUCACUCGUACGACAAAGUCAAGUUUGACAGUUGUUUGUGGUUAUAUUUCCGUAUAUUUUUGUGGAAUUUUCUUGUAAUAUCGUUUAUUUGUUUAAUAUUUGUUGAGUUUUUAAGCAUAUAAGGACAAUAUUACUAUAAUUACUUAUUUGGGUCCUAUACAAAGGCAGUAAUGACUUGUGAAGUGUGUUUUCGUAACCGUGUAAAAUGAGUGGUGGUAACAUUUGUAGCAUAGCUAUAUGUAAAAGCAACUCCAAAAUUCCUGAACCAGAUGGAAACAAAAUAAUGCUUUUGGACAUUUCCCAAAUACCUUAACAUUAUCAAACAAUAAUGGAUAAUAAAAUGUUACAAGAUAAAUGGGCCUCUAAACAUAAGAAAAUAGGUAGCAAACAUUUCCUCGUGUCUGAAUAUGUUAAUAUUAUGUUAUGUCUUUUUUAUAUUUUAACCUAAUAAUAAAUUAUUUAUAUUA
rnacentral:lncRNA from 1 species